CCUACGGGAGGCAGCAGUGAGGAAUAUUGGUCAAUGGACGAGAGUCUGAACCAGCCAAGUAGCGUGAAGGAUGACUGCCCUAUGGGUUGUAAACUUCUUUUAUAAAGGAAUAAAACGAGGCACGUGUGCCUUUUUGCAUGUACUUUAUGAAUAAGGAUCGGCUAACUCCGUGCCAGCAGCCGCGGUAAUACGGAGGAUCCGAGCGUUAUCCGGAUUUAUUGGGUUUAAAGGGAGCGUAGAUGGGUUGUUAAGUCAGUUGUGAAAGUUUGCGGCUCAACCGUAAAAUUGCAAUUGAUACUGGCAGUCUUGAGUACAGUUGAGGUAAGCGGAAUUCGUGGUGUAGCGGUGAAAUGCUUAGAUAUCACGAAGAACCCCGAUUGCGAAGGCAGCUUACUAAACUGUGACUGACAUUGAUGCUCGAAAGCGUGGGUAGCAAACAGGAUUAGAUACCCUAGUAGUC
rnacentral:rRNA from 1 species